AGGUGAACCUGCGGAAGGAUCAUUAUUGAAAUAAACCUGAUGAGUUGUUGCUGGUUCUCUAGGGAGCAUGUGCACACUUGUCAUCUUUAUAUCUCUCCACCUGUGCACCUUUUGUAGACCUGGAUAUCUCUCUGAAUGCUAGCAUUCAGGUUUGAGGUUUGACCUUUUGGUCUCUCCUUACAUUUCCAGGCCUAUGUUUCUUCAUAUACCCCUUGUAUGUUAUAGAAUGUAAUAAAUGGGCCUUUGUGCCUAUAAAACUAUACAACUUUCAGCAACGGAUCUUUUGGCUCUCGCAUCGAUGAAGAACGCAGCGAAAUGCGAAAGUAAUGUGAAUUGCAGAAUUCAGUGAAUCAUCGAAUCUUUGAACGCACCUUGCGCUCCUUGGUAUUCCGAGGAGCAUGCCUGUUUGAGUGUCAUUAAUAUAUCAACCUCUUCAGCUUUUGCUUGUUGAGCGUUGGAUGUGGGGGUCUUUAUUUGUUGGCCUCUUUUCUGAGGUCAGCUCCCCUGAAAUGCAUUAGUGGAACAAUUUGUUGACUGUUCAUUGGUGUGAUAACUAUCUACGCUAUUGACGGUGAAGCAAGUUCAGCUUCUAACAGUCCAUUGACUUGGACAAAAAUUUUAUUAAUGUGACCUCAAAUCAGGUAGGACUACCCGCUGAACUUAA
rnacentral:rRNA from 1 species